rnacentral:rRNA from 1 species
CCUACGGGAGGCAGCAGUGAGGAAUAUUGGUCAAUGGGCUUACGCCUGAACCAGCCAAGUCGCGUGAGGGAAGACUGCCCUAUGGGUUGUAAACCUCUUUUGUCAGGGAGCAACGCCGGCUACGUGUAGCCGGACUGAGAGUACCUGAAGAAAAAGCAUCGGCUAACUCCGUGCCAGCAGCCGCGGUAAUACGGAGGAUGCGAGCGUUAUCCGGAUUGAUUGGGUUAAAAGGGUGCGUAGGCGGAAUGCCAAGUCAGCGGUAAAAUCGCGGGGCCCAACCUCGCUCCGCCGUUGAAACUGGCGUUCUUGAGUGGGCGAGAAGUAUGCGGAAUGCGUGGUGUAGCGGUGAAAUGCAGAGAUAUCACGCAGAACUCCGAUUGCGAAGGCAGCAUACCGGCGCCCAACUGACGCUGAAGCACGAAAGCGUGGGUAUCGAACAGGAUUAGAUACCCCUGUAGUC